CGAGGGGUUGUCGUUGGUGGAGUCCCCAGACUUCGGAGGGAAAGGGGCGUGACCCGGAAGCGGAAGCCCAUCCUUCUCUCGGCUCCGCUAGGUCUGACGGCUGUCUUAGACCUGCUGGUGGAGUCCUACCACCAUGGACCUGUUGUUUGGGCGCCGGAAGACGCCAGAGGAACUACUUCGGCAAAACCAGAGGGCCCUGAACCGAGCCAUGAGAGAACUGGACAGGGAACGACAAAAACUAGAAACCCAGGAAAAGAAAAUCAUUGCAGACAUCAAAAAGAUGGCAAAGCAAGGCCAGAUGGAUGCUGUUCGAAUCAUGGCAAAAGACCUGCUGAAAUUACCCCAGAUCCAGAAGAUCAUGAUGGAGUUUGAACGGCAGGCAGAGAUCAUGGACAUGAAGGAAGAAAUGAUGAAUGAUGCCAUUGAUGAUGCAAUGGGUGAUGAGGAAGAUGAAGAGGAGAGUGAUGCUGUUGUGUCCCAGGUACUGGAUGAGCUGGGACUGAGCCUCACAGAUGAGCUGUCAAACCUCCCCUCCACUGGAGGCUCACUCAGUGUGGCUGCUGGCGGAAAGAAAGCAGAGGCCACAGCCUCAGCUCUGGCUGAUGCUGAUGCAGACCUGGAAGAGAGGCUCAAGAACCUUCGCAGGGACUGAACACUCCACCUGGACUCAAUGCCUAGGAUCUUCAUCCUGUCCCCCCUGUAAUAAAGAAAUUUGGACACU
rnacentral:lncRNA from 1 species